AUGUGGCACAAGACCGGCAAUACCUUGCUAGUGAUGGUCAACGGCCGGCAGACGGGCAACAAAAAGGUUCUGUUGCUGCACACCAACAAGAACUUCGACCAACAGAGGACCAACUGGGUGAUGCACCAGUACCACCUCGGGGACCUGGAGCAAGAGAAGGAGCGGGAGCUGGUCCUCUGCAAGAUUUUCUACCAAAUGAACACUAGGGCCAGGGUUGGUAUUGUUGUUAAAGAUCUUUUGGUCGAGCAAGUUUCAACUGGGCUGUAG
rnacentral:rRNA from 1 species